CCAGAGCCCCACAUCAACAAGAGCCGUGCUGAAUUCACAUGGCCACCUUCUGCGGCGUUAUGGACCGCGGGGCGCACGCACCAGGCGAGGAAGCCCCGCUUGGUGGAUAAGAUGAGUGCUGCAGAGCGUGUUAAAAGAUUAAUUGACAGCAUGUUUCAGAUAUUUCCAGAUGAAAUACAAUUCAAUUGUCUUGUACUCUUCAACAAAUUUUAAGCUUGGAUUAUGUAUCACGGAUAAUCAGUGGAUGGGAAUCCUCAGGGACAACAAAUAAUUCUUAUUAUUUGGCGAGCUGCAACUUCUGAUAAACAAAUCUGCUCAGCUACAUUGAGAAUUUACAAAGAAGUCUAAAGUUUCUAUACAAUUCAUUUUACAUUGUACCCCAAUUUGCUGAUAAUUGAUCAGUUUGAGGGGUGGAAACACAUAGAUUCCUGGAGAGUUGUAUUUUUGUCAUUUCUAGUAUAUGACCUAGAUUGACUCCAGCAACAUGAGAAAAAAUAAUCAUUUUUUCUGAAAUCCUCUUCGUCAGAGAAAAAUUAGGAGGAAAAAAAAGUUAAAGGUUUGAAGCACUGAAUUGCUGAUGGAGUCUCUGGAAUUAUUUCCUCAUAGCCUAUAAAAAAAGUGUUAAUCUGCCACUAUAGCCUGUGGUUUUGGAAGACCAGGGUUUAGAUAUAACAAAACUUCUCAUUGCUCUCAAGUUGUUAAAACCCGAGCUGAGAAUGAGUUAAAGCAAAGUUACAGGACCAGACAAAUAAUGUCCCUUUAAAAUAAAAGUUGUUAGGCAAAGCUUUUGUCAGGGUCUGAAACUUUGCAGGAGGAAUACUCAAAACAGAUUUAAGUCCAGCAAGUCAGCCCUCUGAUUAACAGAAGCAUGAAGAAUUUGUUAUUUCAUAUAAACAUAUAUGAUUCAUAUGUGAUCAAUUGUUUGAUUGAAUUAUAUUGAUGUCCUGCAUAUGUUCAUUUUGUAUGAAAUAAAACUGGUUAAUGGUUAAUAAUUUGAACCGCCUUGUUUUGUCAGAUGAUUUCCAAGUCCCUUUCGGAAAAAAACAAAUAAGCUAAAAUAAGUGAAAGAAAAAAAAACUCUUGUUCAGAUCAUGUG